GGCCGCAGCUGGAGCGCGGCGGGGCGCGGGCAGCCUGCGCUGCCGGCUAUGUUUGGAAACUUGAACGCCAGAUCGCGCCCUCACCCUCCUCCCGGCCGCGCUGCCGGCCCCCCGCCGCGGCUCCGCGGCCAGGGCGCGCAUGCACAGUCGUCGUGGUGGUGGGUGUGAUCCCAGUGACAGAAUGACACAGUUUUUGUAAGCCUGUGACUGCAUCAGAAGCUCUUCCACUUUUGAUUUGUUUAAAACAGCCAUGUUUGCCAAGUGUUUAAGGCUGGGCUGGGAAAGAUAGUGCUGUGCAUUGCUCAAGGGUGUAGGAGAGGCCAGGCAGGCAAAUUACUUAAUACAACCUCGGUUCAUGCAAAUAAGCCAAGAAUUCAUUUCGCUGGGAGGAAAACAAAAUAAACCCCCCCGAAGCUUUCCUUCUCCCGCCCGCGAUCCCCGAAGUUGCCCGCUCCCCGCCCGGCCCCGCGGCCACGCCGGUGCCCGUGCUGGCCAGGAGGGGCUCUGCAGAACCCGCUUUUGCUCUCGUUGCAGUCGGCGGCUGUUUUUGCAAACAUCGACAUCGCUGCCUGCGUCCAAAGAAUAAUAAAGUGUCACUGCGGGGACGCGCUUCGGCCGGGACCCGGCGCGGGCGGCCGCCGGCAUCGCGUCACUGGGCGCAGCCGGGCGCACGGUGCCCGCGGAGACAGCGCGCAGCGGGGGAGGGCGGAGGGCGGGGGGGAAGCGGCCGCACGCUCGGCGAACGCGGAACCUCUCCCAGCUGGGCUGUGUUGGGUGGAUUUCUUUCUUUCAGUACCUCUUCCUGAUUCCUUUGUUGCUACAAACGCCGAAAUCCCCGUCCAUUGCAGGUUUCUCUCUGUGUUUUAAAAGAACUUAGUGUUUCUAUGGCGGGGUGCCACGGCUCCCUUACACCGGCACGCUCAGCAAACAUGCAGCCCCGACGGAGAUAGACACCUUCUAUUCGAUUAAUAACGUUUUGGAACUCACAUGACAAAAACCCGUCCCUUUAAAUAUUUCAUUUCAUAUCACCAAUAUGUGUCAUUUUCAUUUUUAGUUGUCUAAAGCAUUUUUUAUGUGUCCGGGUCUAGUCUUUAAAGCUGGCAAAUGAAUUUGAUUAUAUGUGUGUGGAAUUAUUUUAUAGGGAAGGCUUAAUGAAAUGCACACAUUGAUUGAAGUUACAGAAAUGGUAGGACCAGAUAAAAUACAGUUAGAAAAUCAAUUGUGACAAAGUGACUCUUUUUCAGGGGAAGCUUGUAGAAGUAGUAAGUAGAGAUAGAAAUGUCUUUGAAUUAUGUGAGUCUCCUGUACAUAAAUUGGCUGAAGAAGAUGCGCUAAAGGGGAGUAGAUUUCACACUUAAAAAUUUCACACCUAAGCUGUGGACAUUACAAAAGCUUCACAGAAGUAUGGCAGAUGAAAGCUGGUCAAAGUAAAAGUCUUUGCUUCCAGCCACAGUGAUUUAGUGAUGGCUGCAGGAUUUCUACAUUAAUAUGUCUUUCCUUCACCAAAUAAGCAUGUGUUCCCUCUGAUUCAUACUGGAAUGUCAGUUCCUUUCCUAUCCUUUUACUGCCUCGCGUUGAUCUUCAUAUGAGGAGCAGAACUGGGCUGUGAUAAAAGGUCAGCCUCUGCUUUAAAAUCUCUGGUUGAGAGACCUGAAGCUUUCCCUUCAUCCCGCAUGUCUAAGAAUGCAGAACUGCAACAUAUCCUGACUGUAUUUCAGUCCCUGGGUUACACAAAUCCAACCAUGACAAGGCACUCCAUGUGCUUGCACUACCCCUCACCCUGGAUCCUCGACCCACUGAAUCCUCCUGCAAGAAACCCCUUUUUUGGUAAACUCACCUCACAGGAACAGACUUCUUGGCUCAUAAGAGCAGUCUUUAUAGUGGGUGUAAAUAAUAAUCACCUUAGAUAUGAUCUAGCCUUAGAAAACCAUUUACAGGUGCUGUCAACUCCCUUUAUAGUUUGUGAAUAGAAAAAGAGAGAGAUUAGCAUCUGUGACCCGACCAAACUGCCUUUCCUCUUACUUGCAGGAUACACAGUUGCAGAAAUAUGUUUGUCUUUCCAUAAUGAUUAAACUUUGAUUUAAACUUUGGUCAUGGGCACGCACUGUACCGUUACGCAAGCAGCACUUAAGGAUGAAGUGUCAGCACAGCAACAAUAUGGCCAGCAGCAGCAGUGAUCUCUGCAAAGCUGAUUGAUGAAGAGAGCUGCAAUGUAAAUGCAAAUAAAUGCCACGCUGUGGCACCUUCACAGGGAACGACUUGUCAGUAUCAAUCUAAUCUGGGUACGGAAAAAUAGAUUGAACAGUAGCAAUGUAACAAUCUUCCCAUCUAUGGCAGCACUGUCCUUGCGAGGGUAGCAGCAAGCUUUCUCCCUCACCUCCUGCCUUUUCUCUUUGCCAUGCGAGUGAUGAGACAGGAGCAAUCCAGAUUGGUCUUGCUGGAUUUAUACUAAACAUGCCUGGUGUUUAUUUAGCUCUGAAAUAAUCCAGGAAUUAAUAUUACUUUUGGAGGAAGCAAAUAAGAAGCCCCAAACAAUUAAUCCAUUCAGGUGUCUAAUCUGGCUAACUGAAAGAAAGAAGUGAGCAAACAAAAAAUAGCGUAAGAACCCCAAACAGUAGAUUGUUUAGGGAGAUGAAGGGGAGUGCAAGGAGGAAUGGACCUGUGGCUGAGAACAAUUGCUACCCAGCUACUGUUUUCUGUGCAGGAAUACAAGUCAGCACUGUGAUGUGGC